GACCUGAUGAUACCUUCAACUAAAAAAACCAAAUGUGUUCUCGUGUGGUCCUGACGGAAAAGUAGUAUCAACAAGGCUAUGCCGCUCCGAAGCAUUGAGAUGACGAAGCGUCGUUGUAGCUGCACCUCUGCCUUCGAAAGAUGAAUCAGUCAUUCCACACUGUGCUUACUGGCUUUGUAUAGAGUCUGGCAAAUCCGACAGACUUGGACUGCCUUUUUCAAGAAAGUUUGAAAUAGCAUCCCUUAUGCACCUGCAUUUCAAUUCCAAUCUGUAUUACAAGAAUGACAGACCACUCAACAGAGAUGAACAUCUGAAAGUGAAAGAGCUGGAACGAAGAUACGUUAAUCUGUGUCAAAGGUUCUUAGUAUGUGUGCGAGUCGAGGACAUAGGUCUCAAGCUUAUUCCUGUCUUCAGAAGAGGUGACAACUAUGCUCCUUCUAUCUAUUAACCAGCUCCACUUUUUAGGGUUCCCUGUAAACUAAUGGAGCACAUCAUGUACUACCACGUUGUCAACCAAGUUGACUCUGUCAAUUUCUUUUUUUAAAUUCCAGCAUGGUUUUAGAAAAGGGUAUUCAGGCAAAACUAACGUAGUGCAUGGAAUUCGUUCACAGCAUUUCAAACUGUCUUGAUUUCUGGGUCCACGUAGAUGUAGUAUUCUUUUUAUUUUCUAAGGGCUUUUGACACUGUGCUCUACGCUCGCGUGUUGGCCAUAGUAGCCUAAUUAAAAUUUGAUCCUGCUACCUGGAUGUGCAGUUUCUCAACUAACCGUAACUGUGGCGACAACUCGUGAGGAGAACCUAUCAUAUCGCCACCAUGCAGCAUUUGUUAUAUUACAAUCGCUUCACAUUUUAAUCUA